AUUCUUAAAUUAGAUUAUUUGUGCUUCACUUUAGGUUCUUCAAGACAACAGUGCCAGGAAAGAGGAACUCCGUGCUCGAGCUAAAGGGUUGAAAACUCUUGGUAAAAUCUUCCAGAGGGUUAAGUCAGCCAAUGGUAACGAGAAUGAAAGCAUACCAAAUAAGGAAGUACACAAGUUGAAUGGAAGUGAAACUAGCAACGAUGCUUGUUCUCCUAGUACAUCACCCAAAUCUUCAAGUCCUGAUUUUUCAACUCAUGCUGUAUUUGUAUCCCAGAGUCCCUAUGUGGAGGCCCCGCAGUUUGCUGGAAUGCAAUUUGACUAUAACUUUCCUAGGCCAACCGCCCCCCCAGGUGCCCAGAGACCUACUCCAACCAGCAAGGAUCGAGUUUGAUAUCCCGGGUGUAGUUUUUUUUUUUUUUUUUUUUUU